GAUGAACGCUGGCGGCGUGCUUAACACAUGCAAGUCGAACGGGAAACCUUUUAUUGAAGCUUCGGCAGAUUUAGCUGGUUUCUAGUGGCGGACGGGUGAGUAACGCGUGGGUAACCUGCCCUAUACAGGGGGAUAACAACCAGAAAUGGUUGCUAAUACCGCAUAAGCGCACAGGGCCGCAUGGUCCGGUGUGAAAAACUCCGGUGGUAUAGGAUGGACCCGCGUUGGAUUAGCCAGUUGGCAGGGUAACGGCCUACCAAAGCGACGAUCCAUAGCCGGCCUGAGAGGGUGAACGGCCACAUUGGGACUGAGACACGGCCCAGACUCCUACGGGAGGCAGCAGCGGGGAAUAUUGCACAAUGGGGGAAACCCUGAUGCAGCGACGCCGCGUGAAGGAAGAAGUAUCUCGGUAUGUAAACUUCUAUCAGCAGGGAAGAUAGUGACGGUACCUGACGAAGAAGCCCCGGCUAACUACGUG
rnacentral:rRNA from 1 species